ACUAUUAAAGGAAAGCAGUCGAUCCGUUGGUCUUAGGAACCAAAAAUCUUGGUGCAAAUCCAAGUAAUAGUU
rnacentral:tRNA from 1 species